GACGAACGCUGGCGGCGUGCUUAACACAUGCAAGUCGAACGGAAAGGCCCUGCUUGCAGGGUACUCGAGUGGCGAACGGGUGAGUAACACGUGGGUGUUCUGCCCUGCACUUCGGGUUAAGCCUGGGAAACUGGGUCUAUUACCGGAUAGGAGCCAUUUUUAUUGUGAUGGUUGGAAAGUUUUUUCGGUGUUGGAUGAGCUCGCGGCCUAUCAGCUUGUUGGUGGGGUAAUGGCCUACCAAGGCGGCGACGGGUAGCCGGCCUGAGAGGGUGGACGGCCAAAUUGGGACUGAGAGACGGCAGAGACUCCUACGGGAGGGAGAAGGGGGGAAGAAUGAAAAAUGGGCGCAAGCCUGAUGCAGAGACGCCGCGUGGGGGAUGACGGACUUAGGGUUGAAAAAAAAAAUCGCUAGGGACGAAGCAUUUUGUGACGGUACCUAGAGAAGAAGCACCGGCUAACUACGUG
rnacentral:rRNA from 1 species